rnacentral:rRNA from 1 species
UACGUAGGGGGCGAGCGUUGUCCGGAUUUAUUGGGCGUAAAGAGCGUGUAGGCGGUUCGGUAAGUCUGUCGUGAAAUCCUGAGGCUCAACCUCGGGCGUGCGAUGGAUACUGCCGGGCUAGAGGGUGGUAGAGGCGAGUGGAAUUCCCGGUGUAGCGGUGAAAUGCGCAGAUAUCGGGAGGAACACCAGUAGCGAAGGCGGCUCGCUGGGCCACACCUGACGCUGAGGCGCGAAGGCGUGGGGAGCGAACGGG